CUGCUUCUACUUUCUGUAUGGAGCUGGGAGCGUCUGCCUGUUGGACUCCCGAAGAGCGUCAGGUUUGAUCCUUGGUAUGCAGAUGAACAUGACGAAUUACGGCGCCUCACGUGGGCUUACAAGUGGGAUAUCGUUUCCGAGAUGACGAACGAUGUCAAUCUCAUGUACCAAAAGUACAUUGCCGAGUUGGACACGAUUACGCCUGAGCAGGUAAGGAGGUCAUUACUUUAG
rnacentral:rRNA from 1 species